rnacentral:rRNA from 1 species
GCAAGUCGAACGAGAACGGUACUAGCUUGCUAGUAUGUCAGCUAAGUGGCGGACGGGUGAGUAAUGUAUAGUUAAUCUGCCCUUUGGAGAGGGAUAACUACUGGAAACGGUAGCUAAUACCUCAUACUCCUUCUAGUGUAAUGCUAGUUGGGAAAUGUUUUUUCGCCAAAGGAUGAGACUAUAUGGUAUCAGGUAGUUGGUGGGGUAAGAGCCUACCAAGCCAAUGACGCCUAGCUGGUCUGAGAGGAUGAUC